rnacentral:misc_RNA from 1 species
GAAAUGCGAUAAGUAAUGUGAAUUGCAGAAUUCAGUGAACCAUCGAAUCUUUGAACGCACAUUGCGCCCGCCAGCACUCUGGCGGGCAUGCCUGUUCGAGCGUCAUUUCAACCCUCAGAACCCCUUGCGGGAUCUGGCGUUGGGGAUUGGCAUCCAGCCAGCCCCGAAAUCUAGUGGCGGUCCCUCCGCGACCUCCCCUGUGCAGUAGCGAUACCUCGCAGCGGGACAGCGGUCUGACCACGCCGUAAAACCCCCAACUUCUCAAGGUUGACCUCGAAUCAGGUAUGAAUACCCGCUGAACUUAAGC